AAAAGAGUGGAAAAUAAACGAAACUUGCUCCCCAAGGAUAUAGAGGAACCGAAUCUUCGUUCUUCAAACCACCAAAUCCCUUCCUAUAUUUUCAAGUUCCGAGUAACGAUGACAAAAAUCAAGAUCCAUACACAUUCAUACGAACUCCCAGUUCCUUUCCCAAUUACCUAUAAUUCCCGUCGCUUUUUUCGUUGCAACUACAUUUGAUUUGAUUUCUCUGUUUCUCAACGAAACGAUGGACUGGUGUUCUCACUGUCUCGACGUUUGUACAAUCCAAAUCGAUGGCGAUUUCAGAUGUUGCUCAACAUGUGGAAAAGUGCUUUCACAAAGUUCUACUGCCAAAUCAGUGAGGUUAAAGCUCAUCAAAAGAAGAUUAAAAAGAAGCUUUAUUUUAAGUCAGAAGAAAAGGAAAGAACUUGUUAGAUUAACACAACUCUAUAAUAGGGCUUAGAUUUUCAUUUCCGAAUUCAACUACAUUUGUAAAUAACUUUAUUCAUUUGUUUAUUUUUUUUUAAUGGAAGUAUAUAAUGUAAAUAUCAUCAUCCUUUAGAAAUUCAUUCUUAGAAGGAAAAAGGAAAGUUAGAAAAUAGAAAGUAGUAUUUGAAUGUAUACUCAGAUGGCCGAAAUUGGGCUUUUUGAAGAAGGUAAAUAUUAAUUGAAGUUUAAAGUUCGAGCUCUA